rnacentral:rRNA from 1 species
AUUGAACGCUGGCGGCAGGCCUAACACAUGCAAGUCGAGCGAGAGGCGGACGGGUGAGUAAUGUCUGGGAAACUGCCUGAUGGAGGGGGAUAACUAAUGGAAACGGUAGCUAAUACCGCAUACCAUCAGAUGUGCCCAGAUGGGAUGAGCUAGUAGUUGGGGUAACGGCUCACCUAGGAGACGAUCCCUAGCUGGUGUGAGAGGAUGACCAGCCCCACUGCAACUGAGACACGGUCCAGACUCCUACGGGCGGCACAAGCGGGGAAUAUGGCACAAUGGGCGCAAGCCUGAUGCAGCCAUGCCGCGUGUGUGAAGAAGGCCUUCGGGUUGUAAAGCACUUUCAGCGGGGAGACGUUACCCGCAGAAGACGCACCGGCUAACUCCGUGCCAGCCGCCGCGGUAAUUC